rnacentral:rRNA from 1 species
ACGUAGGAGACAAGCGUUAUCCGGAAUUACUGGGCGUAAAGGGCGGGUAGGCGGGUCGGUAAGUGGGUCGUGAAAGCCCCUGGCUAAACUGGGGGAGGUCGAUCCGGACUGCCGGUCUGGAGUUUCCCAGAGGCACAUGGAAUUCCGGGUGUAGUGGUGAAAUGCGUAGAGAUCCGGAGGAACACCAGUGGCGAAGGCGAUGUGCUGGGGGAAAACUGAUGCUGAUCCGCGACAGCAUGGGGAGCGAACGGGA